rnacentral:rRNA from 1 species
ACCAUCAAGAGUAGAAGAAAUAGACUUCAUCAUUCAAACAAACUACAAAAGAUCGAAAGGAAGCUAAUACUUUUAAGGGUUUCUUACAGGGUAACAGUGAAGUUCCUCAUCGUCGACUAUAACCACGAAGGUGGAGGCGCAGUACGGGCCCGGCUUGACGGUGUGGGGGACCAAGAGGUGUAAAAGAGAAACCACAAAAUAUGUAAGUCAAUAUAGGAUAGAAUAGGUCAUACAGAGUAUAGAAUCAACUAAACGUCAAACAUGAGAUGAAAUGUUUGUAACAUCUUUAUAAGAUGAUUGUCGAAUAAAAGAUGACAAACCAACAAAUUUGAUUCUUUAAUUUAGACCUGGGUAUGUUUAGAACUCAUUUUAUAUACGAUUAAUCAAGGAGAACAAAUUAGAUAAGAUCCUAACCCGUGAUGUGUAUCUCGAUUUUUCAAUGUAACGGUAAAACUCACGUUUGUUUGUCCAAUCCACCACACAUGGAAUAAAGUCCUAGUUGUUAGCCACUUAACCUAGAUUCCAAACUCAAUCAUGACUCGUAACACAUAAGAUCUACCUGAUUAACUCACACGAUUAACUUGGUAUAAGUACCACAAUCAGACUUCAGUCUAAUACGCUAAGUGAGCAUAAUUACGGUAAUGAUAACCAUGUAAUCUAUUUAACCCUCUCAAUUCAAUACCCGAAGAACGGUUAAUGUACGGGUGUUUAAUAUGCAACACUGUUGAAAAGAGAAAUACUGCUCGUACACUACAGCAUUCAAAGGAAACCUCCUGCACCCCAGUAAAAGACAGAUAAUUUAUAGACGAAACACGAAAACCUUCACAGAUCGUCCCGGUGUUGAAUACUUACAUCAACGUUAUUACGUGUUCUUGAAGAACAGUAAUCAAUUCUUUUAUUUGAUACCCAGUAAAAUUGGUGUAGUAAAGUGGAAAAGUCACAGUCGAUUCCAUAAGACCAAAGAACUCUACCAAACUGAUAAACUCAAAGGUAACCAAUGUCCACACAUACAGGGACUACUGUACAACGGGUUUUAGUUGUAAACAUCGAAGAAAUAUAUACCGAAAGAGAGAAAGGUAGUACUUCAAAUUAACUAAAUAUAAGGUUUACCCGAAUAAGAAUGUUAGGUAAGGAACGAUUAAAUUAAAAAUAAAACGGAACGACCAGAACUUAAAUAUGAAAAUUGAAUAAAGACACACGAUCCGAAGAAACUGAUGUACAUUAGGAGAAGACAGGAACCAAGUCUAGUUUACACCUCAGGUGAAGAAAGGAACCAAGUCUAGUUUACACCUCUACUACAAAAAAAAAGGCGAUACUGAUAAUAAAAGUGGAACCACUGUCAGAGUGCUUAGGAGAAAGGAAAGAAAACGACUACAGAACGGAGGACACAUGACUAUCUCCGUAUAUUGACUACGUACAGAGCCUAAUCUCUUGAUACUAACAGGUAGAUAAAAUAUAAAAAGUAAAUGGAGAAUGCUCAUCAAAGGGAUUCAUCUUUUUUACGUAAAAAGUCGGUAUAACGAAAUAAUAGGAAAAAACACCCUUGUUAUGCUUCGGUGUGAUACCACACGAGACAAGGGUUAAAAUGUUUGACCGUUCAACGACGAACUAAAACAAAGAAAGUCUAAAAACACACGGAAAGAGGCAAUCUUACAAAGAGGAGUUGCUGGUAUAGCUAGACCGACCGCAAGCGUUGACACUAAAACCAACUUGACACGUACUAGUAGGGAGAUAAGUUUAACAACGAAGAGUUCCUAUAAACGUUUGGAUAGUUGAGUUCGUUUGAUACUAAGUUUAAAGCACUUUACGUUCAUAAAGAAGACAUUACCAUUUUACCCUUCUUACGAAUUGACCCUACGAAGUUCGUCCAAAGGACGAAUAGUGGGUAUACUUUGGAUUGUAUACUAAAAAAUAAAUGUUAUUAUAUAUACGUAAAAGGAUAUUUAUAACCCCUUCAUUUGAAGACCACGAAAUCUUUGUUGGGACGUGUAUAUAUAGUCCACUGCAUAACCGAACGUCCAUACGAGGCCGAUCCAACAAAGAAGAGAAGGAAUCCGAUACCAACGUUGGCAACCGACGAUACAACCAGAACUACAUAAACGAAAAAAUAUUCGAAUAUCAAACUUUUUGACAUACGUUACUAAGGAUUAAACUACGGUUAUCGAGCACACUCGUAGGUGUCACUACCCAAGAACACGCCUAAUAGUCUCCGUCGUCGUGGCAGCACCUCAUGUACAUGUAGUUACGGCUGCCACGGCCGUCGUUGCUGUGUUCCACCCGCUAAACUGGUCGCGUUGUAAGAAUAAACUCCUCAACACGCGUCAAGACUUUGUUAAUUCAACACGAACCACUGUGCGGAGUAAAGACACCAACUUAUAAACACAAUGGUAAAAGAGGGAACGACACCUUUCGGUGGUCGAAGUCCCUCACGGUCCGAAGGUGUGUCGAUCUUGUCUGCGGUGGAAACCGUCCCUCGCACUCCUAAACCGAACAGCUAUGCUCACUAUCGUCGCGGUAGACGUCUAAGGCGUCUAAGUUCGACAUUGCCUUCGACGGUCCGACGGCUCUACUUCUACCUCGGCGACACCGCGACGCGGAGGUUCGACGGCCCGGCGGUUAUACGUCAACCUCGGCGUCACGGAGGCUCGACGUCACCCUCGGUGAGGGGGCAGUUCGAUGUAGCACUAGGCGGCGCUUCUACCUCGGAUCGCACUCGGCGGAGGUGGUCCACGAAAGAGCUCAUGUCACCCCUCUCCUUCUCCUACUUGACCAGCUACCUUAGUUCCGAUUGUCAGGUGGUGCACCAAUAGAGGCCGCAAUAUACAGGUCUGAGGUCUCACACCAAGAAACGGUGUUACCGUACCAACAUUUAAAUAGAAACCACGAUUAAACAUGAAAUACAUUGACCAUAUUAGAAAUAACAAAGUAGUUUAAAUAAGGGUGAAUAGAAUUAUAUUCUCGUAG